GCGUUUCUUUUUAAAUUGAAAGGCAAUGCAACUUAAGUGUUUCCAAACAUAAAUUAAUUGGCAACACUUAUGCAUUUAUAUUGCGACGCUUUUAGAGUGAGCUGUAUUCAUAAUUCUAAAAGCAACACUUCACAAGUGUGCGCUAAAGAAAUUUAAUAAAAUUCCCCCUUCCUUUAAAUUUCCCGUGAAACAUUUCCCCCCAUUUUGAAAGUGCAAACAAUUUCCCUCCUAAUGACAUCAGUUCAUUAGGUUUUCUGUUUUGCCCACCUUCACCGUAAUCUCCAUAGACACUAUCACCUCAUGUGCCAAAUUUCCCUCCACCCUAAAAUUUGCAGUGAUGCCUCAUUUUCUUUCUGAAAUGUGCUCUUAUAUAUGUCAAUAUUUGCUUAAGUGAAAUUCAACAAGGAAAAAAAAUUUCAACAGAGUUCAAAUACAGAUUUCAUUCAGUAUAGGUUAUACAUGUGGACACUGCAGUGAACAGAGGAUUCUUCAUGUUCUCAAAUAAGAUCAACGUAGAGCAAAAGUGAGGAAGGCAAAGAAAAAGGAUAGAGGUACUUCAGAGCUUAAGAUCGUCCUUUGGGUUCAACUGAAGAGGAAAGUUCUGGUGGACAAUUAAAAAUGGUGCCAAAAGACUAUUUGAUCUAUUGGAAUUUAACGAUGAAGACUUUGGACAAUUACGAUUUUUGUAAUUCCUGAUACUAUAUUUGAUUUUGUAAAGUUACAAGCAUGAACCUUGAAAUAAUUUGCUUCAUUGUAUUACACAAGAUUUAAUCUUUUUUUGAA